rnacentral:rRNA from 1 species
GACGAACGCUGGCGGCGUGCUUAACACAUGCAAGUCGAACGGAAAGGCCCUGCUUUUGUGGGGUGCUCGAGUGGCGAACGGGUGAGUAACACGUGAGUAACCUGCCCUUGACUUUGGGAUAACUUCAGGAAACUGGGGCUAAUACCGGAUAGGAGCUCCUGCUGCAUGGUGGGGGUUGGAAAGUUUCGGCGGUUGGGGAUGGACUCGCGGCUUAUCAGCUUGUUGGUGGGGUAGUGGCUUACCAAGGCUUUGACGGGUAGCCGGCCUGAGAGGGUGACCGGCCACAUUGGGACUGAGAUACGGCCCAGACUCCUACGGGAGGCAGCAGUGGGGAAUAUUGCACAAUGGGCGGAAGCCUGAUGCAGCAACGCCGCGUGCGGGAUGACGGCCUUCGGGUUGUAAACCGCUUUCGCCCGUGACGAAGCGUGAGUGACGGGAAUGGGUAAAGAAGCACCGGCUAACUACGU